AAUCAACGCUGGCGGCGCGCUUAACACAUGCAAGUCGCACGAGAAAGUGGAGCAAUCCAUGAGUACAGUGGCGUACGGGUGAGUAACACGUGGGUAAUCUACCUCUUAGUGGGGAAUAACUCUGGGAAACCGGAGCUAAUACCGCAUAAGCCUGGAAAGGGAAAGCAGCAAUGCGCUGAGAGAGGAGCCCGCGGCCGAUUAGCUAGUUGGUAGGGUAAAAGCCACCAAGGCAAUGAUCGGUAGCCGGCCUGAGAGGGCACACGGCCACACUGGCACUGAAACACGGGCCAGACUCCUACGGGAGGCAGCAGUGGGGAAUCUUGCACAAUGGGGGCAACCCUGAUGCAGCGACGCCGCGUGAGCGAUGAAG
rnacentral:rRNA from 1 species